UGCCAGCAGCCGCGGUAAUACGGAGGGGGCUAGCGUUGUUCGGAAUUACUGGGCGUAAAGCGCGCGUAGGCGGUUUAGCAAGUUGAAGGUGAAAUCCCGGGGCCCAACCCCGGAACUGCCUCCAAAACUGCUAGACUAGAGGAUGUGAGAGGUGAGUGGAAUUCCGAGUGUAGAGGUGAAAUUCGUAGAUAUUCGGAAGAACACCAGUGGCGAAGGCGACUCACUGGCACAUUUCUGACGCUGAGGCGCGAAAGCGUGGGGAGCAAACAGGAUUAGAUA
rnacentral:rRNA from 1 species